AUUUUUAUGGAGAGUUUGAUCCUGGCUCAGGAUGAACGCUGGCGGCGUGCCUAAUACAUGCAAGUCGAG
rnacentral:rRNA from 1 species